GAGGAAUGACCCGCCUGCACAUUACGUAUUUGUACGCAUGAGUUUAGCUAGCAAAUGUCGCCGUGACAUCGCCUAGAAGUCUGAUAUGGGGAAGCAGUUCUGGCCUAUCUUCAUACUAUACUGUCUUUGAUACAUAGCUAACAUGAGUUAUCAUAAAGGUCGUGCUGUGUUAGCUAGCUAGUGUUUAAGCAAUAUGUUCCUCGAACGGUUUAAGUGGUAAAUAGGUUAUUAACGGGAGUUUCACACUUGAUAUGAAACGCAUUUCAUUAUCAAAUACAGGCAAAGUUACUAUAUUUUCGAAGUUGACACUGACUGUCAAGGUGUAGGAGACACUUCAUCUACACCCUGAUGCCUGUGUUGUGACGGUGAGGCUGCUUCAUUCUCUGUCUUCUGGUAGGUCGUCUUCCCUGGUCAUCUGUGUUGCUGUUGCCCUGUGUUCCACACCAUGGCACGCCACAGUAAGCUGCAGAAACAGGUGUUGUCUCUGUUCCGCCAGUUCCUGCGUGCUGGCCAGGACAAGCCAGGCUUUCUACCUAGGAUCCGGGAUGAGUUCCGAGAGAACUCCAGCAUCAAGAAGACUGAUGUCAUGCACAUAGAAUAUCUUUACCGGCGUGGACAGAGACAGCUAGACCAGCUGAAAGAUGUGAACACAAAGCAACUAGGAACUUUCUCCAAACCCAAAGUAGAGAGAUGACCAAAACCAUUUCCUUCUCUACAGCCUCUGUUGUCGCUACCUCUAACUGGAUACGUGGGCAUCCGCUAUGUAAUUACAUUAAUCAUUCACUAGUCAGAUUACUACUCCUUUCAAUCUGCAGCUGAGUAAGUGCAGUCAUUGUCCUAAGCAAUGGCCAUGGAUCUGAACUGUAUGACAGCACUAUUGUCCUCUGUCAGAGAGGUGGACACCACUGAUGAGGAUGAACAUUUGAAAACGGUCUCUGGCCAGUUGGGUUGAGCAGACCAGUUGCUCUGGUCAUUGUUGUAAAAUACUUUUGUCUAGCUACAUUAACCUGUUGAGUGUUUUGGAUUAAAGAUGAUAUCAUCAGUAUGAGAAGUGAAUUUGACUAUUUUAAGUCUAGCUAAUACUAGUAUAUGCUUACGUGUCACAAGAGGUCAAGUAAUGCCAUUAUAUAAUGCUUAUGAAUUGUACGGUAAAUAAACAUGAAUUGUCACAUACACCAGA